GUGUUAAAUAUAGAAAAUUCACAUUUGGCAAAAGCUCGGCUUUUAUAAUGAAUAGGGUGAAUUCUGUAACCAAAAUAGAUGCACAAAAUUGAUAUUUCUCUGGAAACAGCGUAACAUACACUACUUUCACUACAGUUGCUUCAUCCUUUUCAUAUAAUAUGAAAAAGGGAGGGUGAAAAAGGAAAAAAGAAAAAAAGGAGGUAAGUGCAAUAAUCCCAAUACGAUAUACGAUCCAGAGCAAGCCACAUAACAGCCUCAUGCAAGCAGCAUCAAGUAUCAACUCAUAGAGGAGAUUAUUUGUAUUUGAUAACCCAACCACCCAAAGCCACUAGUCAAAGUACAUCUACAAGGAGCCUUUAUUGUGAAUCUUCAAAAUAAAUUUAUGAUUUCCCCCCUUUCUGGCAGGACAAGUAAUGGAGCAGACAUGAUAUCACAGAAAGUUGCAAGCAAAAAUACUCUCUCAAAGCCUUGGCAACUAGCUCAAGCAGACAAAAGAUAAAGAGGAUGUAGAUCAGGCUCAAACUUAAACAUACUCCGAAUUCAUAUGAGAAUCCACAAAAUAUAGAUUUAUUUAAAUACACUGGUGGUAAAUCCAUGUCAACCAGAAAUAGAAGGAAGCAUGCACAUAUAACAAAAAAAUGAAGACGAUGAUGCAUACCUUGUGUGGUGA
rnacentral:misc_RNA from 1 species